GAUGAACGCUAGCGGGAGGCUUAACACAUGCAAGUCGAGGGGCAGCACGAGGUAGCAAUACUUUGGUGGCGACCGGCGCACGGGUGAGUAACGCGUAUGCAACCUACCCUGUACAGGGGGAUAGCCCGGAGAAAUUCGGAUUAAUACCCCAUAAUGAUAUUUAGAGGCAUCUCUGAAUAUUUAAAGUUUCGACGGUACAGGAUGGGCAUGCGUGACAUUAGCUAGUUGGUAAGGUAACGGCUUACCAAGGCUGCGAUGUCUAGGGGUCCUGAGAGGGUGAUCCCCCACACUGGUACUGAGACACGGACCAGACUCCUACGGGAGGCAGCAGUGAGGAAUAUUGGUCAAUGGGCGCAAGCCUGAACCAGCCAUCCCGCGUGAAGGAAGAAGGCGCUAUGCGUUGUAAACUUCUUUUCCGGAGGAAUAAAAUUUCGUACGUGUACGGGACUGAAGGUACUCCGGGAAUAAGCAUCGGCUAACUCCGUGCCAGCCGCCGCAGUAAGAC
rnacentral:rRNA from 1 species